GACAGUUAUUUCUUACAGUCUUUCAAGUUAGAUGGGGUUCUGCCAAAAAGAGGAGUGGAAACAAAAAGAGGACUGCAGAGCCGACAAUCUCAUUACCUGAAUUAUAAUUGAGUAAGGACAAUUUCAUUCAAAUAGCUUAAGUACCAACUAGUUCAAUGACAAAUUUAAGCUGUGAUUCCUUUAAGUUUAAGGUGAAGCUCUAAAAGCAGUAGCCUGAAAACAAGAACACAGUGACUGUCUGAAAUGCCUUAUGUGCUGAAGCUCACAAACUACUGUUAAUUGCUAAGAAAAGUCAGCUGUUUGAAUCCAGAAGAAAAUGCUUUUCAUGGAAUAUAAAUGUUAGUUUAUGUUCUAUAUUGUUUUGCAAUAACCUGUACUAAAAUCAUAUUGUUCUAAAAGGUGUUGACUACAAACUAAACACAAAAUUAGCUAUUUUAAAGAAUUAAACAUCUCUGUUUUUGGUAAAUUAAGUGUGGUAUC
rnacentral:lncRNA from 1 species